AUUGAACGCUAGCGGGAUGCCUUACACAUGCAAGUCGAACGGAGUGGCGAACGGGUGAGUAAUGUAUCGGAACGUGCCCAGUAGCGGGGGAUAACUACGCGAAAGCGUAGCUAAUACCGCAUACUAUUGGAGCGGCCGAUAUCGGAUUAGCUAGUUGGUGGGGUAACGGCUCACCAAGGCGACGAUCCGUAGCUGGUUUGAGAGGACGACCAGCCACAGUGGGACUGAGAAAAGGCCAAGACUACUACGGGAGGCAGCAGGGGGGAAUGUUGGACAAGGGGAGAAAGCCGGAUCCAGCCAUGCCGCGGGUGCGAAGAAGGCCGUCGGGUUGUAAAGCACUUUUGGCAGGAAAGCGGUACCUGCAGAAGAAGCACCGGAUAACUACGUGCCAGCAGCCGCGGUAAUAG
rnacentral:rRNA from 1 species